CUUACACAUGCAGUCGAGCGGUACAUUUCUAGCUUGCUAGAAGAUGACGAGCGGCGGACGGGUGAGUAAUACUUAGGAAUCUACCUAGUAGUGGGGGAUAGCUCGGGGAAACUCGAAUUAAUACCGCAUACGACCUACGGGAGAAAGGGGGCAACUUGUUGCUCUCGCUAUUAGAUGAGCCUAAGUCGAAUUAGCUAGAUAGUGGGGUAAAGGCCUACCAUGGCGACGAUCUGUAGCUGGUCUGAGAGGAUGAUCAGCCACACCGGGACUGAGACACGGCCCGGACUCCUACGGGAGGCAGCAGUGGGGAAUAUUGGACAAUGGGGGAAACCCUGAUCCAGCCAUGCCGCGUGUGUGAAGAAGGCCUUUCGGUUGUAAAGCACUUUAAGCAGUGAAGAAGACUCUUCGGUUAAUACCCGGAGACGAUGACAUUAGCUGCAGAAUAAGCACCGGCUAACUCUGUGCCAGCAGCCGCGGUAAU
rnacentral:rRNA from 1 species